AAGAUGUAGAUCAGAAAGGUUAUGUAACUUGUUAAAGGUCACACAGCUAAGAAGAACUACUAUCUGGACCUCAAUCUAAAUCCUUUCAAUGUCAAAGCUGUUCCACCACACCACACCAAGGCUCUGCUUAACAAAGCCUGACAUCUAACAUCAUCUCACAUUAAUCACCACAUACAGUCUAGGAGCUCAACAGCAAUGAAGUCAUUGCCAUCCCCACUAUUGAAGAGAAUGAAGCCAUCGGCUGAGGUGGUCUUGAACUGGAAGAAGAGGUGCAUGGAAGUGUAGGCCUGCAGGGUGGCCAGGCUCAGCUACCUUCUCCACUUUACUUUUAAACCAUCUGGGCUGGAUGAAGCUGACCCCAUUCUGAAGUAAUCAAGCUACUUGGACUGAACCACUCAAUGUAUUUUAUCCCCCCAGCCUUAGAGUAAAACAUAAGGACUAAGAACUCUAGCAUUCAUCUCAAUCACCUGGAAGGGUUGCUAAAACACAGUUCAUUGGGCCCUACCCUCCGAGUUUAUUAUUCAAGAGUCUGAGAUAUCCUAUAGCAGAGGGCCUGAGGGCAGCAAGUAUCCCUGGCACCUGGGAAGGAGGCUGUAUUAGAGACAUCUACUGUGGAGUCAGAGUCUGGAUUAUCACCAUUUCUACAUAUGAGAGACCUGGCCAACACCAACAGCUUGGCAAAAAAAAUCACAGAAAUGGCUUAGCAGAGGCAACUUGACCUCCCAGUGGCUCCCAGACACAGAGAGAAAAGUGAAGAAAAGAGAGGCUUCCAAAGGCUCAGAAAAGGAUACACAAUGUACCCACAAUCCUCCAGCUCCACUGCUCCCAUACCCUCUUCUCCACAGUACAUUGUGGAGAAACAUUUCCCACAUACAUAUGCUGUAAAAUGCUUUAAUAAAAAAAAAGU